GACGAACGCUGGCGGCGUGCUUAACACAUGCAAGUCGAACGAUGAAGCCCUUCGGGGUGGAUUAGUGGCGAACGGGUGAGUAACACGUGGGCAAUCUGCCCUUCACUCUGGGACAAGCCC
rnacentral:rRNA from 1 species